CCUACGGGAGGCUGCAGUGGGGAAUAUUGCACAAUGGGGGAAACCCUGAUGCAGCGACGCCGCGUGAGUGAAGAAGUAUCUCGGUAUGUAAAGCUCUAUCAGCAGGGAAGAAGAAAGACGGUACCUGACUAAGAAGCCCCGGCUAACUACGUGCCAGCAGCCGCGGUAAUACGGAGGGGGCAAGCGUUAUGCGGAUUUACUGGGUGGAAAGGGAGCGUAGACGGCUGUGCAAGUCUGAAGUGAAAGCCCAGGGCUCAACCCUGGGACUGCUUUGGAAACUGUGGGGCUAGAGUGCUGGAGGGGUAAGUGGAAGUCCUGGUGUAGCGGUGAAAUGCGUAGAUAUUAGGAGGAACACCAGUGGCGAAGGCGGGUUACUGGACAGUAACUGACGUUGAGGCUCGAAGGCGUGGGGAGCGAACAGGAUUAGAUACCCCUGUAGUC
rnacentral:rRNA from 1 species